rnacentral:rRNA from 1 species
GAUGAACGCUGGCGGCGUGCCUAAUACAUGCGAGUCGAGCGAACGGACGAGAAGCUUGCUUCUCUGAUGUUAGCGGCGGACGGGUGAGUAACACGUGGAUAACCUACCUAUAAGACUGGGAUAACUUCGGGAAACCGGAGCUAAUAACGGAUAAUAAUUUGAACCGCAUGGUUCAAAAGUGAAAGACGGUCUUGCUGUCACUUAUAGAUGGAUCCGCGCUCAAUUAGCUAGUUGGUAAGGUAACGGCUUACCAAGGCAACGAUGCAAAGCCGACCUGAGAGGUCGAUGGCCAGCCGAGAACUGGGGCCCCUUCCCGACACCGGAAGGGGGACGCGGUAGGGAAUCUUCCGCAAUGGGCCAAAGCCUAACGUAGCAACGCCGCGUGAGUGAUGAAGGUCUUCGGAUCGUAAAACUCUGUUAUUAGGGAAGAACAUAUGUUUAAGUAACUGUGCACAUCUUGACGGUACCUAAUCAGAAAGCCACGGCUAACUACGUG